rnacentral:rRNA from 1 species
UACGUAGGGUGCAAGCGUUGUCCGGAAUUAUUGGGCGUAAAGAGCUCGUAGGCGGUCUGUCGCGUCGGCUGUGAAAACCCGAGGCUCAACCUCGGGCCUGCAGCCGAUACGGGCAGACUAGAGUUCGGCAGGGGAGACUGGAAUUCCUGGUGUAGCGGUGAAAUGCGCAGAUAUCAGGAGGAACACCGGUGGCGAAGGCGGGUCUCUGGGCCGAUACUGACGCUGAGGAGCGAAAGCGUGGGGAGCGAACAGG